GUUUUAUAAAGGCAAUCCACGUACAGGGACUAAAAAAGGGGACUUGUGUGAAGCCAAAUCGGGACUAGAAAGGGGAACUUGUAUGUAGCCAGCAAGAGGAAGUGAGCAAGCAAAUAAUAAUUCUGGACAACAGCCAACAGCUGACUUUUCAAGCUUCGCUGGUUCCUUGUGGGACAGUAGGAGACAUGCACAAGACGAGACUUAUACUGGGACAAUCUGUCCUGAUACAUCUGAUGUAACAACUGGCAGCUAAAAUCUUCUGCAGGUGUAACAAAAUCAUCAGAGUUUUGUAAGAGACUACAAGCACAAUGGAUGCAGAAGCUCGGCUGCACAUUAAUGCCUCAUACAUCAGGAGGACUUCAAAGUCUGCACUGCGUAAGAGGGGCUCUGCAUUGAAAGUUUCCAAUGAAAAAUGGAAGACAGCCCUCUACAGCGUUGCACGUGGCUGUUACUACCUGCUCCUCCUGACACACCUAUUUAUCGUCACUCUCAGCAUCUAUCGCAAUGCCAGAACCAUCCAUGAACGCUGGUGUGAGAAACAGAAGAUGGCAGCAGAUCCUCCAGCCAACCUGUCCUGCUGGAACUCCACAUGGGACGACCCUACCCCUGUCCCAAAGGGAACCUGGGUCUUCCCCCAGUUCCUGAUCCCUAAGAUUAAAGUGACCAUCUCUCUGACAAACACCAUCAUCAUGUUUGUGCUCCUGUCAAACAGGGGUCAGUUUCUGGGGUUUAAAAAGUCAUUUCAAAGGUGCUUCACCAAAAAAGUGGUUUCUGAAUUUUACUUUGAGCUUGAGUCUUGCUAUAGCCUGGAACAUAGCUAAUACAGUGUUUGGCUUGUCGCAAACACAUCUAACUUUUGCCAUAACUGCUUCAGCCUUGAUGUGGAUGACUAAGAAUCUGGUUGACUUUGUCUUUGUGAUUGCCCUAUCCCACUAUAUUCCACCUCCCAAGGCAACCCCUGCAUAUCGCAUGUACAUCUGCACUCUUGCUUUGUAUGGUUUAAGCUAUCUAGCUCAGUUUGGCUACUGUUCAGUUGUUGCUGUCUUCAAGAUGAGCUUUGUAUCCAAAAUAUUUGACAACGAGUUCUUCACUUCCAUUGACAUCCUUCUCACUAUUGCUGCUUCAGGUUAUAACAAAAUGGUGUGGGAAUUCUUCACUACAAAACUGUACAAGCCUGACAAGGACAUUGUGUCCACUGUUUACUAUCCUCUCAUCAUUCCCAGUGAUGAUUCGUACCUACCUUUGAAUAAUGAAGAGGAAGACAGAAAUGAAAUAGAUGCUAGUGUCAACAAUAACUGUAACACCCGAUGAGUAUGAACUAAAUAUUAGCACUUGUUGAAUAUGUAAUGUGUAAAGCUUUGGUUCAAAAUCAGUAAUGGUACAAGUUAGACUUUAUAUAGAAUUUAUAUCAUAUUACAAAAUUACAAAUUUAGAAUGAUUGGAGCUUUUCUCACAUGCAUUAAAAAAAGAGGUGGUUUCUGCUGAAGCAGAAGUUGUUGAAAACUGUGAGAGGCUAUCAGCUAGUUUCAUUAACAUACAAUGUAUUGUUCCAGAUCAAAGUACAAGACUUAGUACUUAAUGAUAAACUUAUCUCUCCCAUUUGAAUACAUCAAUACUACUGUACAUUAUACUACAUACACCAUCCAUGUGGAGGAAGAAACAAGAGCAUGUGCUUUCAGUUGAUAAGUUGCAUGCCUAUAACCAUGGAGUUAACUCUGUGCUAUAACAUUUAUUUUUACAUAUUAUGUAACUAAUUU